UCUCUCCUGCCACUAGGUGGAGCUCACAUCCUCACUGCCUGUGUAGUCUUUCCACUUCUCAGUCAGACCCAAUCUGAAGCAAAAGGAGGGGCCUAUACAUCCUCAGGAAGAGGGGCAUUUGCAUGGAGCCAGCCUGUAUUUAGACUCCCCGGACAGAUAAGAAGGGGAGCCCAGCUACAAUCAGUCCAUUGGAGUCAGGAAGCGGGACCUGUGUGUCUUCACCAUGACUUCGGCUCCACUAUUCCUCAUCUUCCUUUGUCACUUAACAAGGUCAUAUGCCCAGUACGUGCUAACUCAGCCAAACUCUGUGUCAGGGAAUCUUGGGAGCACAGUCACUAUCACCUGCCUGCGCAGCAGUGGUAGCAUAGGAAACUACUAUGUGUACUGGUACCAGCAGCACUUUGGAAGUUCACCCACAGCUGUCAUCUAUGAGGAUGAUAAAAGACCAUCUGGGGUUCCUGAUCGGUUCUUGGGCUCCAUUGACAGCUCCUCCAACUCAGCCUCGCUGACCAUCACUGAUCUGCAGAUUGAAGAUGAGGCUGACUACUACUGUCAGUCUUCUAGUCACAGUGAUGAGAAUCAUGGGGAAGUAAGACAAAAACUCCCCAGAGCAGCAGCUGUGAAAUCAUUUGUGAAAUGGACUAUGUUUUUUCAUGUCUCCUUAAAAAAAGUACUGCUUUUAGGUUGCCAAGUUAUAAUUUCCUCUAGGUUCAUUGCAAGAGUCUACUUUUUCCUCCCUCAUAUGGAUGUCUGACCUCUUUACAUUUUUAGGGUCAGUCCAUGGAGUACAAAAUGUUGAAGAAAGGAAUUUUGGAGGGCAACACUACUGACAUUUCGUGUCAGAGCCUUCCUUAUAUGUGUGAUGUGUUUAGCAUCAUAUCUGAUCAUGAGUCAUUGCACGUUUUCAUGUUUUCCCUCCAUUAUGACAUCACUAAUUCUCUGUAUUGCCAAAUGUAUCUGUAAAAUGGGAAGCACACUUGGGCAAAGCCACUGCUUCAAGAAGUUGUUCUAAACUAUUAAGGAGGCCCUAGAUUAGACUCUCACUUCCCUAAGGCAUAAGGAUGAGGUUUUACUCCCUGAGAGUCUGUCCCCAGUUGCUAAGCAAAACAAUAGCAUAUUCUUAUGGGGACAAAGCCUAGGUUAUCCAACUCUAUAGAAGCUCCAAUCAAGGUCUAUAAUGGAAUGUUAAGGGAAGACCUAGUGCACACGUAAAUGUUAAAAUCUACACACAGUGGAUAUGCAAAUGUAAUGGAGCUCUCCCAUUCUGUGAACUGUCCUUCCUCUGGAAAGCUCUGAAGAGCAUGAAAGGUGAUAAUGAAAGGCGACAAAGCAAGCUCAGUGAAGGAGCCCAAGAAAACCACAAAUACUAUAUUAAUAAUAAUUUUAUCACUGGGCGGUGGUGGCUCACGCCUUUAAUCCCAGCACUUGGGAGGCAGAAGCAGGUGGAUCUCUGUGAGUUCAAGCUAGCCUGGUCUACAGA